GAAGGUUUUCGGAUCGUAAAGCUCUGUUGUUAGGGAAGAACAAGUACCGUUCGAAUAGGGCGGUACCUUGACGGUACCUAACCAGAAAGCCACGGCUAACUACGUGCCAGCAGCCGCGGUAAUACGUAGGUGGCAAGCGUUGUCCGGAAUUAUUGGGCGUAAAGGGCUCGCAGGCGGUUUCUUAAGUCUGAUGUGAAAGCCCCCGGCUCAACCGGGGAGGGUCAUUGGAAACUGGGGAACUUGAGUGCAGAAGAGGAGAGUGGAAUUCCACGUGUAGCGGUGAAAUGCGUAGAGAUGUGGAGGAACACCAGUGGCGAAGGCGACUCUCUG
rnacentral:rRNA from 1 species